GAUGAACGCUGGCGGCGUGCCUAAUACAUGCAAGUCGAGCGAACAGACGAGGAGCUUGCUCCUCUGACGUUAGCGGCGGACGGGUGAGUAACACGUGGAUAACCUACCUAUAAGACUGGGAUAACUUCGGGAAACCGGAUCUAAUACCGGAUAAUAUAUUGAACCGCAUGGUUCAAUAGUGAAAGACGGUGUUGCUGUCACUUAUAGAUGGUUCCGCGCCGCAUUAGCUAGUUGGUAAGGUAACGGCUUACCAAGGCAGCGAUGCGUAGACGAACUGAGAGAGUGAUCGGCGACACUGGAACUGAGACACGGUCCAGACUACUACGGGAGGCAGCAGUAGGGAAUCUUCCGCAGUGGGCGAAAGCAUGACGGAGUAACGCCGAGUGAGUGAUGAAGGUCUUCGGAUCGUAAAACUCUGUUAUUAGGGAAGAGCAAAUGUGUAAGUAACUAUGCACGUCUUGACGGUACCUAAUCAGAAAGCAACGGCUAACUACGUG
rnacentral:rRNA from 1 species